AAAACAUAAUACCCCUAAAUCGAUUUGGUGGGAAAUAUCAAGAUCUUUUUGUAGAAAAUAAAAUAGAUCUUGGCACUGAUUAGUAAAUUACACAAUAAUUAGAUCUACAUCUAGAAGGGGUUCUCUCAACAUGGAGACAGGAAUAAGACAGACACAGGGACAAAGAUACCAACAAUGUUCUAGAACACUGCAAUCAACUGAUUUACAACCCUCUGUAUUCAAGUGGCUAGAGUACUACCAUGUGUUUUGUGCUUAUGGGUUU